rnacentral:rRNA from 1 species
UGUGCCAGCAGCCGCGGUAAUACGUAGGGUGCAAGCGUUAAUCGGAAUUACUGGGCGUAAAGCGUGCGCAGGCGGUUCGCUAAGACAGAUGUGAAAUCCCCGGGCUUAACCUGGGAACUGCAUUUGUGACUGGCGGGCUAGAGUAUGGCAGAGGGGGGUAGAAUUCCACGUGUAGCAGUGAAAUGCGUAGAGAUGUGGAGGAAUACCGAUGGCGAAGGCAGCCCCCUGGGCCAAUACUGACGCUCAUGCACGAAAGCGUGGGGAGCAAACAGGAUUAGAUACCCUGGUAGUCCACGCCCUAAACGAUGUCAACUAGUUGUUGGGUCUUCAUUGACUUAGUAACGUAGCUAACGCGUGAAGUUGACCGCCUGGGGAGUACGGUCGCAAGAUUAAAACUCAAAUAAAUUACGGG